rnacentral:rRNA from 1 species
GAUGAACGCUGGCGGCGUGCCUAAUACAUGCAAGUCGAGCGAACGGACGAGAUGCUUGCUUCUCUGAUGUUAGCGGCGGACGGGUGAGUAACACGUGGUUAACCUACCUAUAAGACUGGGAUGACUUCGGGAAACCGGAGCUAAUACCGGAUAAUAUUUUGAACCUCAUGGUUCAAAAGUGAAAGACGGUCUUGCUGUCACUUAUAGAUGGAUCCGCGCUGCAUUAGCUAGUUGGUAAGGUAACGGCUUACCAAGGCAACGAUGCAUAGCCGACCUGAGAGGGUGAUCGGCCACACUAGAACGGAGACACGGCCCAGACUCCUACGGGAGGCAGCAGUAGGGAAUCUUCCGGAAUGGGCGAAUGCCUGACGGAGCAACGCCGCGUGAUGGAUGAAGGUCGUCGGAUCGUAAAACUCUGUUAUUAGGGAAGAACAUAUGUGUAAGUAACUGUGCACAUCUUGACGGUACCUAAACAGAAAGCCACGGCUAACUACGUG